rnacentral:rRNA from 1 species
UUGGGGGCUUCCACCCUCAGUGCUGAAGUUAACACAUUAAGCACUCCGCCUGGGGAGUACGACCGCAAGGUUGAAACUCAAAGGAAUUGACGGGGGCCCGCACAAGCAGUGGAGCAUGUGGUUUAAUUCGAAGCAACGCGAAGAACCUUACCAGGUCUUGACAUCCUCUGCCACUCCUAGAGAUAGGACGUUCCCCUUCGGGGGACAGAGUGACAGGUGGUGCAUGGUUGUCGUCAGCUCGUGUCGUGAGAUGUUGGGUUAAGUCCCGCAACGAGCGCAACCCUUGAUCUUAGUUGCCAGCAUUCAGUUGGGCACUCUAAGGUGACUGCCGGUGACAAACCGGAGGAAGGUGGGGACGACGUCAAAUCAUCAUGCCCCUUAUGACCUGGGCUACACACGUGCUACAAUGGACGGUACAAAGGGCAGCGACACCGCGAGGUGAAGCGAAUCCCAUAAAGCCGUUCUCAGUUCGGAUUGCAGGCUGCAACUCGCCUGCAUGAAGCCGGAAUUGCUAGUAAUCGCGGAUCAGCAUGCCGCGGUGAAUACGUUCCCGGGCCUUGUACACACCGCCCGUCACACCACGAGAGUUUGUAACACCCGAAGUCGGUGAGGUAACCUUUUGGAGCCAGCCGCCGAAGGUGGGACAAAUGAUUGGGGUGAAGUCGUAACAAGGUAA